CGCGCGUGUAGAGAGAGCACAUACCCUCUCACUCUCUCACUCGCUCACUCACAUUACUUCCCCUCUCUCUCCCUACUUAACAGACACGUGAAAAUUUACUUACAAGAUCAUUUAAGUAAGAGAUCACGUGACCUUGGGCUGGCGAAUGAGAGGAGAGGAAACAAACAAAAAACGAAGAAUAUAAAGAAGAAAACAAUUAAAAAAAUAAAAUAGUGAAAGAAAAAUCACAAGAAAUAUUCAGCCAAUCAAAAAAAUAAAAUAAAUUCUAACAGCCAAUGAGAGUCGAGCUUUUACAUGACGUCAUCAGUGACCAGCCAGUCAGAAUCAUCCACCACUGUUUGUCUCGGUGUGACGUCACGAAUGUAAACAAAGUGAAAGAAAACGACAAUUUAAAGAGAAAAUGGAUGAGUUAUUGAGAAAACGAGGUAUUUUAUGGUAAACUUGUAUAAAAAGGCAAGAUUUAGCAAACAUUGGUAAUAAUAAUGAGAAUGAUAAUAAUGAAUAAUAAAAAAUAAAUGAAGGAGAGAGAGAGAGAGAGAGAGAGAGAGAGAGAGAGAGAGAAAGGAGAGAAGUAUAUGGAGAAAAGGAGAGAUAGAUAGAAGAGACCAAAUAAAGAUAUAGAAUAAAGAAAAAAAUAAAGGAAAGAAAAAAUAUAAAAAAAUAAGAGGAAACAAAGAAAAGAUAAAUAAAAGAUAAAUAAACUAAAAAAUAGAGAAAAUUAAAGUGACAGUGAAAAAAAGAUUAAAAAAAGAAAAAAGAAAAGAAGAAAGACAAAAAGUGUUAAAAGAAAAAGAGAAGGAAAAAAUAAAGAAAAGAAUGGAAUGAAAAACAGACAGAAAGAAAAAGAAAACGAUUAAUAAAACAAAGAAAAGAAACAAAGAGAUAAAGGCAAAAAGAAAAGAUAAAAUAGAAAAGUAAAGAAAAAGAAGGAAAAAGAAGAAUAAAGAAAAGAAAGAGACACGAGACAGACAGACAGAGAGAGAGAGAGAGAGAGAGAGAGAGAGAGAGAGAGA